rnacentral:rRNA from 1 species
UAGAAAUUAAAUAAAAAUUAAGCACAACAAAGCAGAGACUCCCCUCGUACCUUUUGCAUCAUGGUUUAGCUAGUCAAACCAAGCACAAAGAAUUUUAGUUUGACCUCCCGAAACUAGGUGAGCUACUUCAAAACAGCCUAUCAAGGGCCAACCCGUCUCUGUUGCAAAAGAGUGGGAAGAUUUUCAAGUAGAGGUGACAGACCUACCGAACCUAGAGAUAGCUGGUUAUUUAGGAAAAGGAUUUUAGUCCUACCUUAAGUUCUUCCUUUAUUAAUAAAACAACUCCGAACUUAAGAGCUAUUCAAACAAGGUACAGCCUGUUUGAAACAGGGAACAACCUCAAAAAUAGGGUAACUCCAAAUGACAGGUGUCCAAGUGGGCCUAAAAGCAGCCAACUUUAAAAAAGCGUUACAGCUUCCUCACCAGUCACUUUAAUACCAAAAACACUACAUAACCCUUACCCAGUACUAAAUAACUCUAUACCCCUAUAGAAAUUAUUAUGCUAAAACUAGUAACAUGAAGAAGCCCUUCUCCUAAAUGUACAUGUACGCCAAAAAGAACAAUUCAUUGGCAUUUAACGCUACUGACCCUAAAGCAACAACUAUACAAGAGAAUCUUGCUAACACCAACGUUAACCUAACACAAGAACAUUUCAGGAAAGAUUAAAAGAGGUGGAAGGAACUCGGCAAAUUUUAACCCCGCCUGUUUACC